AAUGAACGCUGGCGGCAGGCCUAACACAUGCAAGUCGAACGGAUCCUUCGGGAUUAGUGGCGGACGGGUGAGUAACGCGUGGGAACAUACCCUUUGGUACGGAAUAGCCUCGGGAAACUGGGAGUAAUACCGUAUGUGGUCGAGAGACGAAAGAUUUAUCGCCAAAGGAUUGGCCCGCGUUGGAUUAGGUAGUUGGUGGGGUAGUGGCCUACCAAGCCGACGAUCCAUAGCUGGUUUGAGAGGAUGAUCAGCCACACUGGGACUGAGACACGGCCCAGACUCCUACGGGAGGCAGCAGUGGGGAACCUUAGACAAUGGGGGAAACCCUGAUCUAGCCAUGCCGCGUGAUCGAUGAAGGCCUUAGGGUUGUAAAGAUCUUUCAGGUGGGAAGAUAAUGACUGUACCACCAGAAGAAGCCCCGGCUAACUCCGUGCCAGCAGCCGCGGUAA
rnacentral:rRNA from 1 species